rnacentral:rRNA from 1 species
GACGAACGCUGGCGGCGUGCCUAAUACAUGCAAGUAGAACGCUGAAGGAGGAGCUUGCUUCCCUGGAUGAGUUGCGAACGGGUGAGUAACGCGUAGGUAACCUGCCUGGUAGCGGGGGAUAACUAUUGGAAACGAUAGCUAAUACCGCAUAACAGUAGAUGUUGCAUGACAUUUGCUUAAAAGGUGCAAUUGCAUCACUACCAGAUGGACCUGCGUUGUAUUAGCUAGUUGGUGGGGUAACGGCUCACCAAGGCGACGAUACAUAGCCGACCUGAGAGGGUGAUCGGCCACACUGGGACUGAGACACGGCCCAGACUCCUACGGGAGGCAGCAGUAGGGAAUCUUCGGCAAUGGACGGAAGUCUGACCGAGCAACGCCGCGUGAGUGAAGAAGGUUUUCGGAUCGUAAAGCUCUGUUGUAAGAGAAGAACGAGUGUGAGAGUGGAAAGUUCACACU